rnacentral:misc_RNA from 1 species
UUAUAAGAUUGACAUUGACCAGGUAUGAAGCACAUAUGAUGUGAUGAUUUAUGUUCUAUUGAUUUGUGAAUAUUAAAGUCAAAAGAAACCACUAAAAAUGUCUUUAUUUCUGAGAUUCAUAUAUUUAUUCUAGGAUGCCUGUUUCAUGAAUUAUGAUGUUCCUUUCAUAAUGGACUGUUUCCUGGGAAGCAGCAAUAUAAUAUAUCUAGUUUUUGCAUAUGGGAUCACUUGUUCUAAAUUUCUUUAGAGAGAAGUGUAAUGUAAAGUCUCUUUGGUUUAUUUUCCAGAAUUGUUUUGGAGAAAUGAUCUAGUCUAUUCACAGAUUUUACCUCAUCAAUUUGCUACUGGUUUCAAAUCGGAAAUGGUGGAACAUGUCUUAUUGAGUUAUUGUAAUGAAAUUGUCAAAUCAGUGUCAUGAAGUAUACAUGUUAUGCUGAUGCAAAUUAGUAUGUGAGAACUAAUAGUCAUUUUGGUGUUAUAACUGUUGCGUGAAUGUGCCAACACUAUUCACAGUUGCUUUUAAAAAUUUAUUUAAUUUUUUUAUUUGACUCUUCUGUUAAUGAAUUAUUGAAGCACACAUUUUUCUAGCUUGCAAAAGAUGCCUUUUCUAAGGGAAAAAAAGCAUUUCAGGAAAAAAUAAAAAAGAAGAAGAUUGAAUCAGUACUGAGGAACCUAAAGCUGCAAGAAACUGAAAUAUGCUGAUAGGAAAGAAAGGUUGUGGGGUGUUCCAAAGUUCUAACUCGUCAAAUGUGUCGUCAUUCAUCUGAUAGAAACCUAAGCUUCUCGUGUUUCAAUCUUAUGAGAGAGAGUCUUUAGCAUGCAUAAAGACCGAAAUUUUUGUCUUAUAGAUUGGUGUUCUUAGCAUUGCAUAGAGUUUCAGUCCUUAAGAAGCAAUAAGGGAGAAUCUUCACUAUACAGUUUUGAUUGGUGGC